GACGAACGCUGGCGGCGUGCCUAAUACAUGCAAGUAGAACGCACAGUUUAUACCGUAGCUUGCUACACCAUAAACUGUGAGUUGCGAACGGGGGAGUAACGCGUAGGUAACCUGCCUGGUAGCGGGGGAUAACUAUUGGAAACGAUAGCUAAUACCGCAUAAUAUUGAUUAUUGCAUGAUAAUUGAUUGAAAGAUGCUAUUGCAUCACUACCAGAUGGACCUGCGUUGUAUUAGCUAGUAGGGGAGGUAACGGCUCACCUAGGCGACGAUACAUAGCCGACCUGAGCAGGUGAUCGGCCACACUGGGACUGAGACACGGCCCAGACUCCCACGGGAGGCAGCAGUAGGGAAUCUUCGGCAAUGGCCGAAAGUCUGACCGAGCAACGCCGCGUGAGUGCAGAAGGUUUUCGGAUCGUAAAGCUCUGUUGUACGCGCAGAACGGGUGUGAGCGUGGCAAGUUCACACUGUGACGGUAUCUUACCAGAAAGGGACGGCUACCUACGUG
rnacentral:rRNA from 1 species